rnacentral:misc_RNA from 1 species
UUUCCGUAGGUGAACCUGCGGAAGGAUCAUUAAAGAAUUUCCCCCCUCCUCUCGAGGCUUGGACCUUUUCUAUACCGUGUCUUCAUCCCUCUGUUGCUUUGGCCCGCCGCCCUCUCGGCGUUGGCUCCGGCUGACUGUGCCCGCCUGAGUACCCCUACUCUUCUGUUUAGUAUUGUCCUUAUUUUCUCUAAUAUUUAAAACUUUCACCCUCGGAUCCCUUGGUUCUGGAAUCGAUCAAGAACGCUGCAGAUCGGAUGUGCUCACGUCUGACCCCCACUC